AUACGUAGGGGGCGAGCGUUGUCCGGAAUGAUUGGGCGUAAAGGGCGCGUAGGCGGCCUGUUAAGUCUGGAGUGAAAGUCCUGUUUUCAAGAUGGGAAUUGCUUUGGAUACUGAUGGGCUUGAGUGCAGGAGAGGUUAUCGGAAUUCCCGGUGUAGCGGUGAAAUGCGUAGAGAUCGGGAGGAACACCAGUGGCGAAGGCGGGUAACUGGACUGCAACUGACGCUGAGGCGCGAAAGUGUGGGGAGCAAACAGGAUUAGAUACCCUGGUAGUCCACGCGGUAAACGAUGAAUGCUAGGUGUAGCGGGUAUCGACCCCUGCUGUGCCGCAGUAAACACAAUAAGCAUUCCGCCUGGGGAGUACGGCCGCAAGGUUGAAACUCAAAGGAAUUGACGGGG
rnacentral:rRNA from 1 species